UCCUCGUUCUGCAUAAACACCCACAUACACAUGAACUUACAGUGGACAGAUAAAUCCCUCCUGCACACCAACACAACUUUAGAGUUCACUGAGGAUCGAACAUGGCAGCAAACAAGCUUUCACAAGCCAGGCUUCCCCUCAUUGAAAGAGUUAACGAAGCUCUCCUUAAGGAUCUCAUCGAUGGGCUCAGGGCUAAAGUCCCUGCAGUUCUUACUGGCAGGGAAGCCAAUGAGAUCCUGCAGGGUCACCGAGUGACGGAGGACAAGACUGGACUACUAGUAGAUAUGGUGUGUAAAAAAGGUGACCAGGCCAGUAAAUCUCUGUGUGAUAUUUUGAGAAUGAAAGAUGCAGAAAUCUUCAGAGAACUCCGCCUUGAACAGGAUAUGCAGGACAGUAGACCAAUUCCAUGUAAUCCACGUAUGGAGAUUAAUGGAUCAAAUUAUCGUUAAAUCGUUAAAAGAAUUUUUUUUAAAGGCUGGGAAAAUGUGAACACACCAGACCUGCUAAACAAGAACGUGGAGGAAAGUUGAUCUUCACUGCUUUUAAUAAUUUGAAAAAAAAAAAAAAAAUGUACUCAUGCCUGUUUCAGUAUGUUGUGGUGCACAAAUAAAAUAAAUAAAAUACAUUUUGACAAACUGAUCGUAAUCGUUUAUUAUUUCAGCCUUUCAACAAGGGAUCUGCUCUCUUUCUGAAGUCCUGAGAAGUGUUUUCUCGCUAUUUCUUCUCCAUCCACAAUUCCUUACAAGUCCUUUUUCUAUACCUAGCGACUUCUACACGUGUGUAUUUACUGGCUUAUGGAAAGUCUAGAAUCAUAGAAUACGUGAUGAAUAAUUUCAAAAAGAUCCUUAGAACGGAAAGAGGCUCAAGUGAAGGUGAAAGAAAAGACAAGUGUUUUCUACAUACAUAACUAAUUCAUUCACUCAUUCACUCAUUGAUGGACUGAUUAAUUCAAGAACAAAAACCUUGCACAUUUUAUCCAUUUAUAGUUACAUUUAAUGUUUACCUGCUGUUUUCACUUACAUUAUUACAUAAACAUUAAAGAAGUGUUCAGAACACAUCACCACAUCAAAAACGUACAGAUGUUUUAAAUACGUUUGUGUGGAGCAUACAGCAUACAAGUCCCUGUGUAAGAUGUUCUUAUAACGUAUAAGCAUAUUCUUAUUAACCAUAAUGAUAAUGAUCAUGAGUCUUUAUUGGUCACGUAUACAUUAAAACACAGUGAAAUUCUUUUCUUCGCAUACCCCAGCAUGUCAGGAAGCUGGGGUCAGAGUGCAGGGUCAGUCAUGAUACAGCGCCCCUGGAGUAGAGAGGGUCGAGGGCUUUGCUCAAGGGCCCAACAGUGGCAGCUUGGCAGUACAUGCAGCCAUGCAGCUGACAUUACCGUAACAGACGUAAUAGAAAAGUAAUAGAAGUAAUUUUAUACAGAGCAAGAUUCUUUGGUAUGAUAAAAAUUGGAACAGAUCUUUAUCAGCCUAUUUAUCUACUUUCUCUUUCUGCAUACAUACCCACCUACACAUAAGCUUACAGUGGAAAGAUAAAACCCUCCUCCAUACAAACACACCUUCAGAGUUCACUGAGAACGGAACAUGGCAGAGUUGCUUUUGAGAGCCCGGCUUCACCUCAUUGAGAGAGUUAAUGAAGCUCUCCUUAAGGAUCUUAUUGAUGGUCUCAGGGCUGCAAACCCGCCAGUUCUUACUAGCAGGGAAGCGAAUGAGAUAUUGCAGGCCCACAAAGUGAUAGAAGACAAGACUGGAAUACUAAUAAAUAUGGUGUAUGAAAAAGGUGACACUGCCAGCGCCGUUAUGAUGUCUAUUUUGGAACAAAAAGAUGUAAACCUCGCCAAAUACCUUGGCUUUAUCCCGGACUAGCCCGUCAGACACAAAAUAUCAUGUAUGGACAUGAAUAGACUCAAUUAUAUAAAAAAUAAAUAAAUAAAUAAAAAACUCACCAGACCUGCCAAACAAGAAUGUGAAGGAAAUUUGAUCUUCAUUGCUUUUAACUUGUUUAAUAAAACUCAUGCCUGUGUGAGUAUGUUGUGGCACACAAAUAAAUAAAAAUCAAUUUGGACAAACCGAUCAUAA